rnacentral:rRNA from 1 species
UACAGAGGGUGCGAGCGUUAAUCGGAAUUGCUGGGCGUAAAGCGCACGUAGGCGGCUUGGUAUGUCGGGUGUGAAAUCCCCGGGCUUAACCUGGGAACUGCAACCGAAACUGCCUUGCUAGAGUAUGGGAGAGGGAAGUGGAAUUUCCGGUGUAGCAGUGAAAUGCGUAGAUAUCGGAAGGAACACCAGUGGCGAAGGCGACUUCCUGGAGCAAUACUGAUGCUCAGGUGCGAAAGCGGGGGGAGCAAACAGG